UAUAUAUAUAUAUAUAUAUAUAUAUAUAUAUAUAUAUUUAUAUUUAUAUAUAUUGUUGCUGCUACUUUAUCAACCAGGUGGUGUUAAUAAGAUGAUCACUACAUUUCUUUUUAUUACUAAUUUUUUUAACCAUCAGGAACUUACCCAGCACCUUAACCCCAUCACAACAAUACUGCCCACCAUCGUAACCACUCGCUGCUAACGCUGUGCCUCUGCUGGACCCAUCUGUCAAGACGGGAUGUACAUAAUGGCAGCACCUUAUGAAUUCAUAUCCACAUAAAAUGUGACUUCUAUCCAUCCUAGCCCUGUAUCCUGGUGGGUUAUGGGCUGUAUCAUCAACCACUGAGGGCAACUAAUGGUCCAUCACCAAGCCAUCAAUGGGCCCUGCCAGUUAGCUGCAGCCCUGAAGAGGCUGCCACCCCCAACCAGUAAUUAUCAAAGUCAUGUAAAAAUAAAUGGUAAUAUGUGA